rnacentral:rRNA from 1 species
AGUGAACGCUGGCGGUAGGCCUAACACAUGCAAGUCGAACGGCAGCACAGUAAGAGCUUGCUCUUACGGGUGGCGAGUGGCGGACGGGUGAGGAAUACAUCGGAAUCUACUUUUUCGUGGGGGAUAACGUAGGGAAACUUACGCUAAUACCGCAUACGACCUACGGGUGAAAGCAGGGGAUCUUCGGACCUUGCGCGAUUGAAUGAGCCGAUGUCGUAUUAGCUAGUUGGCGGGGUAAAGGCCCACCAAGGCGACGAUCCGUAGCUGGUCUGAGAGGAUGAUCAGCCACACUGGAACUGAGACACGGUCCAGACUCCUACGGGAGGCAGCAGUGGGGAAUAUUGGACAAUGGGAGCAAGACUGAUCCAGACAUACCGCGUGGGUGAAGAAGGCCUUCGGGUUGUAAAGCCCUUUUGUUGGGAAAGAAAAGCAGCAGGUUAAUACCCCGCUGUUCUGACGGUACCCAAAGAAUAAGCACCGGCUAACUUAGUG